UACAGAGGUCUCGAGCGUUGUCCGGAAUCAUUGGGCGUAAAGCGCGUGUAGGCGGCCCGAUAAGUCCGCUGUGAAAGUCCAGGGCUCAACCCUGGGAUGCCGGUGGAUACUGUCGGGCUCGAGUCCGGGAAGAGGCGAGUGGAAUUCCUGGUGUAGCGGUGGAAUGCGCAGAUAUCAGGAGGAACACCGAUGGCGAAGGCGCACAUCUGGCCCGAUACUGACGCUGAGGCGCGAAAGCUAGGGGAGCAAACGGG
rnacentral:rRNA from 1 species